CUUUACUCACAUUCGAAAACACUCCCAAUAAGAUUGCUUGCUCCAAAAUCGAAGAGGCACCCUCCUCCGAAUCUCGAGAGCCAGACUCCCAACAUGACUACUUUCUCUCAAAAAUCGAAUCGAGAGAAGGUAAAGGAACAGUACCAUUGCUGGAUAAUUGGAAAGUCCCUGUGUGUCAACCUCUGUGCUUCGUGGCAAGGUAGACUAGCAAACAUGCCCAACCUUUACUCACAUUCGAGAAAACACUCCCAACAAGAUUGCUUGCUCCAAAAUCGAAGAGGCACCGCCCUCCGAAUCUCGAGAGCCAGACUCCCAACAUGAUUACUUUCUCAAAAAUCGAAGAGACACUGCUCCCCGAAUCUCGAGAGCCAGACCCCCAGCAUGAUUGCUUUCUCAAAAAUCGAAGAGGCAUCGUUCUCCGAAUCAAUCGAAGAGGCGCUCGCUUUCUCAAAAGCUGGGCUGCUCAGAGACCACGAGGGCCGAUCUCAGAAAUCGAAGAGGCACCUUCUUUUCUAGCCUUGUCAGCACCUGUCACACGCACACUCAGCUUUGCGGAAAUUAUGGGCAUUCUGUCGAAGACUUCUGGUGAAGUAGAAAGCACAUGAAUCUUACUGUUCAAUCACCCACUUCCCACACGCAACAAUAGCUCAUGGGUACCACAGAUAACUUUGUCAAAGUCUCUGCCAAAGUUGAGCACGUGAAGCUUGCAGCUCCCACUACAUCGCUCUGACCAAGAAAGGUAAAAGAAUAGCAAAGAAACAGCACUAACAAAGUUUAGACACAUAAAUUUUGAAGGUCUAGCUACCAUAUUAUUACCCACAAGGGUAAAGGAACAGUACCACUGCUGGAUAAUUGGAAAGUCCCUGUGUGUCAACCUCCGUGCUUCGUGGCAAGGUAGGCUAGCAAACAUGCCCAACCUUUACUCACAUCCGAGAA
rnacentral:lncRNA from 1 species